GCGAAUGCGAUCAUCGACGCGCUCUGUGGCCAUCUCGCAGAGAUUGGCGGUGAUGGCGGGGAUUAUGAUGCGGUGUUCGCGGCCAUUCACAGGCGGCGGACGAACUGGAUCCCGAUUCUCCACAUGCAGCGGUUCUACUCGAUCGCUGACGUGGCCGGCGAGCUCCAGCAUGUCUCCGAGGGCCGCCGGGCCGGAGGCGCGGCGGCGGUUGUGGAAGCGCCGGCGCUGGCGCCUAUUCCAGAAGCGGUUGAGAUCGAUUCUCCGGCUGACGACGUGGACGGAGAGAGUGGAAUGAACUGUGUGAAAGAGGAGGAAUCGGAGGAGAAUUCGUUGAGUGAUGCUUCAGAUCGGAAAGCUGGAGCUGGCGACGGAGAAGAGGGACACGGUUCUCCUAGGACUGUCCUCCAGAUAUGCUCCAACCAUGAGGAAUGUGCGGC
rnacentral:misc_RNA from 1 species